AUCAUUACUUUUGCAAGGCAAUCACUCAAAAAUUAUUGUCAUAGACUUUCUGGUUUGUUUCCUGCAGUGCAGACUGGAAGGGCCUGCUCUGGGUUUUUUCUACAAACCCCAAAGAGAUUGUGAGAGAAGAUAAGUGUAUGUCAGGAGUAUUUCUGCAGGUCCAGUUGGGAGUAGGUGUCACCAGCAGAAAGUCUGUUGCAGAAAUCACCAGCAAGCUGGGAAAUCCAGUGGGAAGUAACAACAUGUGGAGGUUGAAGAAUGUAUAACCUAUGCUUUGCAACCUAUGAUGCUGGAAGAGCAUUGUGUUCUUCCUUUGGCACAGAAGGUCUCUGUUGAAAAUUUUCCGCAAGAUUACUUCCCAUCCGUUCCACUGACAGGUGCACUGAGAGAUUGAUCAUAAAGCUAAAUCAAAUGGUCAUCUGAUUCUGAGGAGUUAGUGCUGCCCUUCAAUAUAUUACUAGGUGAAAAUGCACCACAGCAAAAAAAUUCUUACAGGAAGAUGCUCUCCUUACUGUUCAUUGCCACCACGCUGAUUUUGUUAAAUGUGCAUUCACAGACUAGGCAGACACAGACACAUGUGGCACAUAACUGCUAAUGCUGUCACAGUUCUUAAAGGUGAUUGCCAAGAACAAUUCAUUGAAGUGGGUAAUUUGCUUACUGUGUAAAGAAAAUUAGCACCUUUGAAGCCAAAGUCUGGAAAAAGAAGAAAAUGCCUUCACUAUUAUAUAUUUUUGUGAAACAAGUAGCAAUUAAUCUAUGUGGGCAGAAGUGUACACUGGGUCAGAAUAGGCCUAGUAAGAGGAUCUAUGACCCUCUAUUAUCACUGAGAGGGUAGUAAUUGAUAGGUACAAGAGAUACUUUGCUUUAGCAUCCUCCCCUUGUGAUGUGGUCAGCUUAGCUGCAGCUGCAGAUGCUUUUUUUGUGAUUAAACUGUGAUUUGAAAAAUUAAGGAGCCUUCUUUCCUUAGUUACGAGUGACCUGAAAUAAAACAAAUGUGGUAGAACCAGCAUGGAUGUUACAAGAUGUUAUUCUGCAAGAUCACUCAGCAGGCAACCCCUUACUCAAGUGACUCAUGGUCCUGGGGACUAUAGGGGGGAACAAACCUCCAUCCUGGGCUCUGCACUGAACUCACAGAAUCGGUCUGAGCUAGAAAGCGAAGAUCUUUCCAAGAGUGAUCAGCCUUGACCAAAGUUCUUUUUUUGGAGAAAGAACUGAGCCAUGCCAGCUGGUGUCUCAGGAGUCUGCACACACCAAAACACACAUGCUUCAGCAGCAGAAGUCAGUGAAGG